UGUGAUCAGCUGAUGAACUGAAUACAAUUGGCUGAGCAGGAUGUCACUCCCAUCAGAGCACUGUCAAAAUUCUGUGAACGCCGCUGCUGAGAGGCAGUCAGAAGAAAGGCAGGCUCCUAAAAACAGUAGUGUAUCCUCACCCACCUCAUUUACCGAAUGCGCUACUGUGUAACUCCUAGCUCUUCCUCAAAGUCAAAAGGACCAUGGAAAGUAAACAUCUUGAAUCAAUUCAAAACAUAGAAGAGGGCUCCACGGCGCAACUGAAGACAGGUCUUAGAAAGGACUCCAGAACUGCUUCAAGGAGUGGGAACAAUGAUUUGAUGAGUGUGUUUGAAGAAAGGAGCAGUUUAUAUCUACUCAUUUUCUGUCAAUUGAGAAGGAGGGGAAGAAUAUGGCCAGAAUGGUGGAAGAUGGAGGAAAUCUUACGUGGUGAAUAGAAUCAAAGAACAUGCCUCUCCCGAGGGUUCUGGAUCAAGUUCGAUUCGGAGCUGGGUUUUGGCAAAGAUCCAGGCUGACUCAUGUUAUUUGUAGGAAUAAUACCCAACCCUACUGUUCCCAGAUACCUGCUUUCUACUGUAGUCACAUUUUCAUUACGUCAUGAAGAAAAUAUUGGUAAUAUAUACAAACAUCGUAUCUGUCCUGCCAAGAACUGCCAUUUGGGGGGAAAACUAUUUGUUCUUUCUUUUUUUCUUCAGAUGGCAUCUACCAACUUGGACAACUAUGAAUAAAUGUAUCGCUCAAGAUAACUUUUUAGCUUUGCUAUUUUUAGAACAUGUUGGUUAGUCUCUUCCUUUCAAUGUUUCAGUUUUCCUUCUUCCUUCUCUGUCUCCCCCACUUCCCCUCCCUUCUUCCCUUUCCUCCCCUUCCUUCCUUCCUUCCUUGUCUCCCUCCCUUCUCUUCUCUCCCUUCCUCCCUCCAUUCCUUCCUUCCUUUGUCUUUUAUUUGAGACAGGAUCUCUCUCUCUAUGUAGCCUAAACUAGCCUCCAACUCA
rnacentral:lncRNA from 1 species